CGAGGACCUCAGUGGAGUCCGGUGAGUCAUGGGGCUGAGCAGAGCAGUCCCAGGCAUUCAGACAGCCACACCUUCUCUGUUCUGAUGGCUUCCUCUAAGACUGGCAGUUGACAGAAGAGCAAGCACCUUGGGGUGUUGGGAGCACAGUGGGAAAUACUCAGAGAGCUUGGUGAACUCCAGCGUUCCAGGCAGAUAUCCAGCCAAAAUCCAUUCUCCCCAUCUUUGAGGAUGUGGUCUUCUGCUUUUGACGUCAUCAGUCAGUCUCAGAUAAGUAAGUAAGCUUUAAAGCUUACUUGUCAUGUGUUAUGGACCUGCUCUGGGGACCUCCUGGGACCUCACAUGUGCCUGUGUGGUAGCGCUCCUCGCAUUAGGGAAGCAAGGCCAAGGCCCAGAAAGGUUAGGUGGCAGGCUGAGGUUGCACAGCCGCAGCCACUGGUCCAUGGCCCUGCCCCCGACACCACUGUGGCCACCUGUGCCAGGAGAGGAACUGCUGUUGACUCAGGUGCUCCUUGGAGUGUGCUACAGCUCUUCCGCAAGAGGGCAUCAGAGAGGGCCAGGCUUUCUUCCAGAGAUGAAGGAGUGUGGCUGCGACUCCCCAGUGACUUGGGGCUGGAACAGCUUGUCAGGGUUGGAGCAAAGCAGAGUUUAAGUUUUAUGACUCAUAGGAAAAGGGACACCUCAUCCCCCGGGUCUGCAGGAGCAAAACCUGUGCCUGCUCCUCCUGUGAAGUAUUCUUCUGUUAAGGGCUCCUCCCGAAGGUACCCUUGAGGGGUUAUUUUCCAGGAGGCCGCCUUGGGAGUCCCCUGCACCCUGGUGCUACAGAACUGACCUUGGCCUUGAAGGAGACAUUCACUGAGGACUUCACGGGAAGCAGCAAUACCUUGUAGCCUUCCUCUGGCUUCCAUUAAACCUGACCCCUCUGUGGGUUCUGGCCAUUUCUUUGGCUUGAA